rnacentral:lncRNA from 1 species
CGAGGUAACUGAGAAGCUUUGCUGUCCACAACGCGGAAAUCUUCGUGAGGGACUGAUUUGUCAUCCAUUUUUACAUGCAUAGGUCUAUCGAACAGGAAUUGUCCAUUGAACAUAGAUAUUGCUUGAACAGCUUCAAUUGCUUGUUCAAAGGUAACUGUUCCCAUUCCUCGACUCUUGCCAUCUUUAUCUUCUUUGAUGUCUGCACGCUUUACAGUUCCAGCAAUGCUGAACACCUCUUUUAGUUUCUUCCAACCAACUUUAAAGUCAAGAUUUGCAACAAAUAUAGUGGACCCAAGCCUGCCUGCCUGCAAGUUACUGAUAACCUCAGGAGGAAUGUUUGGAUUAUUGACAAUAGAAGGUGGUAAAUUCAUCAAUCCAGGUGCAACAUCAGGUCCAUGUCCUCCUGCAAAUUGUCCUCCUCCGCGCUGUAAUGCCCUGCGAGCAUGUUCACCUUCAGGAUCCUCUUUAAUAUUCAGUGGUCUUCCACUAAGAUCAUAUUUGUUCAUAGUUUCUAACGCUUUCUUAACAAAUUCUUCAUCUUUGAAUUCAACCACACCACUUACCCUUGAUUUUCCUUCAGCAUCCUUAAACAGCUCCACGUAUGUAACCUCACCAACUUUCUCUCUCAUUAGAUCUUUAAUAGCUUGCCAUUUCAUGUCAUAUGGGAUGUUGCUAAUGAAAACUCUAUUACGAUUAAUAGCCUUCUUCUCUGCACUGCCUGUGCUCUUCUCCUUUGAGUAGGGGUGGAAUCUAUUCUUGUUUCCAAGAGAAGGGAUUGCCUUCGGUUUUGCAUGCUUCUCUUUCACUGGUGCCUUCUCUUCUUUUGCCGUCUCAUCAUUAUCCAUUUUGACGCCAUUUGCGCUGCCCCCGCCGCUCUCUGUCGCCGCCGCGGCCUCCUCACGUUGCGGCGGCUGUUGUUGCGGCUGCUGUUGCGGUGGCGGUUGCUGCUGUUGCGGCGGCGGCUGGCCGGCGAUGGCGGCCUCGUCGGCCCCCCGCUGCAGCACGGCAGCCGCAGCCUCCGGCUUGUCGUUCUCCGCCAUUUCGUGGCCGGGCCGCGGCCCCGCUACGGUCGGUUUGAAAACGGCCCGGAGCGCCUCGGCCUCGCCGCGCCGGGCCGGCCAAGUCUCG